rnacentral:rRNA from 1 species
AUGUUCGCUUGUCCUCGCACUCCACCUCGCUCUCGUGAGCCUCCGCACCGAAGGAAUCAAGCCGGGCUGCCCCCGAAUCACUGGCGUCUGAAGUAUGCGCACGCCCACGCGGACGCCUCGCACGGUCACGUCUCGCCGUCCGCGGUCCUGCUCGUCCCCCUCCUCCGCCGCACCACCCACGCCAUGUCCGGCCACUCACCCUUCUCCGCCACGCACCGCAGCCCCACCUCCACCAGCCCGCUGGCAGCCGUGACCCCGCAGCGCGCCGCCAACCUACAGGCGGUGUUCAACAAGAUCCUGAACGUGGUGGUGGCGGGCGCGCUGGCCAAGGACCAGAUGGUGCGGCGCGUGUUCGUGCUGAGCGACAUGGAGUUCGACGGGCGGCGAGGCGUAGGUGUCGGUGUUGCGGCCGCGAGAUGCAGGCGCGCAGCCUCCAUGGGGUGCUAA